UUGUAGUUUUUGUUCUUCAAUCAGAAAUGAUAUGUUAUUAAUGCUAAUGUUGUCUGAAUUAUGUUUUCUCUUGUCUUUAUCCUGAAUUUUCUUCAGCACACGAUCAACUACAGGAUGAGAAGAGCACAAUACAACAUGAACGUGAUCAACUUUUACACAGUCAGAAGAUUAUUCUACCAAAAGCUCUCCCACAUUUAAGAACACACACAGUGAAAGUGACUCUGGAUGCUGAUUCAGCUCAUCCACGUCUCGUCGUGUCUGAUGAUGGGAAACAAGUGAGAGAUGGAAACAGCCGGAAC